ACAGGGUGACAGCCCCGUACACAAAAGCGCAUGUGCUGUGAGCUCGAUGAGUAGGGCGGGACACGUGGUAUCCUGUCUGAAUAUGGGGGGACCAUCCUCCAAGGCUAAAUACUCCUGACUGACCGAUAGUGAACCAGUACCGUGAGGGAAAGGCGAAAAGAACCCCGGCGAGGGGAGUGAAAAAGAACCUGAAACCGUGUACGUACAAGCAGUGGGAGCACAGGUUUACCUGUGUGACUGCGUACCUUUUGUAUAAUGGGUCAGCGACUUAUAUUCUGUAGCAAGGUUAACCGUAUAGGGGAGCCGAAGGGAAACCGAGUCUUAACCGGGCGUUAAGUUGCAGGGUAUAGACCCGAAACCCGGUGAUCUAGCCAUGGGCAGGUUGAAGGUUGGGUAACACUAACUGGAGGACCGAACCGACUAAUGUUGAAAAAUUAGCGGAUGACCUGUGGCUGGGGGUGAAAGGCCAAUCAAACCGGGAGAUAGCUGGUUCUCCCCGAAAGCUAUUUAGGUAGCGCCUCGUGAAUUCAUCUCCGGGGGUAGAGCACUGUUUCGGCUAGGGGGCCAUCCCGGCUUACCAACCCGAUGCAAACUGCGAAUACCGGAGAAUGUUAUCACGGGAGACACACGGCGGGUGCUAACGUCCGUCGUGAAGAGGGAAACAACCCAGACCGCCAGCUAAGGUCCCAAAGUCAUGGUUAAGUGGGAAACGAUGUGGGAAGGCCCAGACAGCCAGGAUGUUGGCUUAGAAGCAGCCAUCAUUUAAAGAAAGCGUAAUAGCUCACUGGUCGAGUCGGCCUGCGCG
rnacentral:rRNA from 1 species